AAAUGGGUGGUAAAUGCCAUCUAAAGCUAAAUAUUGGCGAGAGACCGAUAGCGAACAAGUACCGUGAGGGAAAGAUGAAAAGAACUUUGGAAAGAGAGUUAAACAGUACGUGAAAUUGCUGAAAGGGAAACGCUUGAAGUCAGUCGCGUUGGCUAGAAAUCAACCUUGCUUUUGCUUUGUGUACUUUCUGGUUGACGGGUCAGCAUCAAUUUUGACCACUGGAUAAAGUCUUUGGGAAUGUGGCAUCUUCGGAUGUGUUAUAGCCCAUUGUCGCAUACGGUGGUUGGGAUUGAGGAACUCAGCACGCCGCAAGGCCGGGUUUCGACCACGUUCGUGCUUAGGAUGCUGGCAUAAUGGCUUUAAUCGACCCGUCUUGAAACACGGACCAAGGAGUCUAACAUGCCUGCGAGUGUUUGGGUGGAAAAACCCAUGCGCGCAAUGAAAGUGAAAGUUGAGAUCCUCUUCAAAGGGGGAGCAUUGACGCCCGGACCAGACCUUUUGUGACGGAUCCGCGGUAGAGCAUGCAUGUUGGGACCCGAAAGAUGGUGAACUAUGCCUGAAUAGGGUGAAGCCAGAGGAAACUCUGGUGGAGGCUCGUAGCGAUUCUGACGUGCAAAUCGAUCGUCAAAUUUGGGUAUAGGGGCGAAAGACUAAUCGAACCAUCUAGUAGCUGGUUCCUGCC
rnacentral:rRNA from 1 species